rnacentral:rRNA from 1 species
UGGGGAAUAUUGGACAAUGGGCGAAAGCCUGAUCCAGCCAUGCCGCGUGUGUGAAGAAGGUCUUCGGAUUGUAAAGCACUUAAAGUUGGGAGGAAGGGCAUUAACCUAAUACGUUAGUGUUUUGACGUUACCGACAGAAUAAGCACCGGCUAACUCUGUGCCAGCAGCCGCGGUAAUACAGAGGGUGCAAGCGUUAAUCGGAAUUACUGGGCGUAAAGCGCGCGUAGGUGGUUUGUUAAGUUGGAUGUGAAAUCCCCGGGCUCGACCUGGGAACUGCAUUCAAAACUGACUGACUAGAGUAUGGUAGAGGGUGGUGGAAUUUCCUGUGUAGCGGUGAAAUGCGUAGAUAUAGGAAGGAACACCAGUGGCGAAGGCGACCACCUGGACUAAUACUGACACUGAGGUGCGAAAGCGUGGGGAGCAAACA